CAGAUACCCAAUGAAAUUCAACAGAAAGCAACCAGCUCGCUCCUCGCCUCACACAAGCUAAUUGAAGACACGUUGGAAAGAAGCUCAGCAAAGCAGCAAGCAAGAGUUUGAAUGCUGAUCAUCUUUUGCUCCAAAGCACAAAGGGGAAAAAAAAGACAUGAAAUAUUCUGAGACUCUUUACUUAGAUAAUAAUUUUAUAUAGACUUUACCUGGUCUUCCAUUGUAUAAGCUUUUGCAUAAAAAUGAAACUUUUGCUCAAGGAUUCUCCGGCAGCACAGCCUGCUGUUGCCUUCAGUUAACAGCACCAAUAUGACUUGCAUGACACCUUAGAGAAAAGACGGAACAGAAUUUGAUCCGUUGGUGGACAUUCAGCUACAACUCAACUCAAGUCAGCUCAGCACCUGCUUGUUGCACCAUCCCUAGCAUGCUUUCCCUCUUCUCCCCAACUCCACACCUUGCUCACACGAGCCAACAAGUAACUGAUGAGAUCGACUCUCAAAAGAACCUCUCUGGAUUAAAACCUUUACUAUGUGAAGCGAGUCCCAGUAUUUCUGCUCUCAAUGAGGGCUGGCCAUUGGACAUUCACCAAGCUACAGAGGACAGCCCUCACCAAAUACCUACCAAAUACACAGUAAAAAAAUAAACAAAUAUCUAUCCCAAGACGUUGCCAUAUCAAUUGUUGUGAAGGACUGAGAUCAACAGCAGUUGUAAUGGACCAAUGUAUUCACUCCCGCUGUCGAGGAACGAGGAUACCCCCAUUUGGGGUUUUCAAAUGAAGACAGGCCAACUGUGGGUAUUGUUCUAUUGUCCUGUAAUGCAAUGCAAGCAGGAAGCCAUAUACAACCAGAAAACAUCCACAGUGCUUACUCCUGAGGAACUGUGGCACCUGCUGCCUGUAGUUUUGUACCACCGUUGAAGCCCACGGUACAGUACGUAACCACCAUAAGAGAUUCCACUCUUCUUCUCGUCAAGACAGACCAGCAGCAUCCAGUUGUUCUGCCUCACCAUCAAGAUAACUAACUCACGGCAAGUAACAAAGUGGUCCCUCACCAUGGAUCAACACCAGCUUUUAUCAAGGAGGAAUUGGUACCUCAAGGGUAUGUUAUCAGCUGAUGAUUCACAAACCUCUGUGCUACUACCAAAUCACUCUGAUAAAGUCUUAUCUUGCUGCUGCACCAGGCCAGAUGAGACCUCACAGCCCCACUGCCUGUAUUUACAUGGACCACUCUGAAAGAGUGAGCACCCUCCCUUUUUUUUAACAACAAAAACCCUAGACGCCUCCAUCAACCUCCGCAGUCAGUAUGUUUAACAAUAAGAACUUCUGUAAUUCGAGCAAAGGUUUUGAGACAACUCUUUCUAACAAUCUGUUUGAAUAAUUAUGCAAUAGCCUGUAUUUAUUAUGCAUGCAGCUGUCAAUAAUAUUCUUUAAACGGAGAAGAUUAGGUUCAGACCUGCAGUUAUAAUUGAACUCUGGAAGGAAACAAUACGAACAAGUGAAGCAAGUGUCUUUGGCAAACCUCAGCUUGUACAACGGAUUUUCCCUAUCAUUAAAACUGAACUCAGUUUCUGCCUAUCAAAAGGAUCUUCCCCACUUUAAUUUAAGUGAUUUGUUUUCCUUUUUGCUUCUGUAUUGAAGGAAAGUUUCAAUUUGUUCCUUUGGGUUUAUGCUUUAGCUCUUUAAAUUCCAGGUUGCCAGCCUUUACCGUUUGGGUCAUAUCCAGGCUCUACAGAUCAGGAGCUCAGCCCCAUGUAUGUAUUUAUAUGUAUUCCCCCAAAUUUAAGAUACUCUAGAUCACAAUGAGCUAAGCUCUGUUCACAAGAAGCCCCUAAAUAAAACAAGCCUUUGAGAGAGAAAAAGGUCACUUUCCGGAGAGGGAAAUAGGGAAAUAUUUAUGCCAAAAAGAUGGAGACCAUUUGCACAAUGGUGAAACCUGAGUCAUUGCAGUUAUAGAUUAUCUGCUACAACUACAUUACAGAUAGCUCUCUGCAGAAUUCUUUUAAACUGUCGUUCCAAUUCGCCGGACUGUGAAAUUCUUACACGGUCGUUUUCUAGUUUUUUUUUAUAAAGGAUGGUGCCAUUUGGCACUGAAUCUUACAAGAGACUUUAGCAAGUUUGUAAACUGUAUUGUGUACAGUAUCAUGGGCCCCAGCAGUCUUUUAUCUCUACUCUCUCUCAACCCCACACCCCCCACCGAACUCACACACACACACACACACACACACACGGCACAUCACUCCAAUUUUUCCCCCAUUCCUCUCCUGACCAGUGCUGCCCAAUGCUUAUCGGAUGCAGCUUGGGUUAGUACAACUAUUAGAUAAAUGAACACCAAGUUACAAUUCAGCCUGGCCCUCAGUGAGAACUGACCAGCUGUUUUAUGGGGCACAGUUUGAGCACGUCUUAUUCAAUAUGUGCCCUGCAUUUUUUACGAAAACAACUGCUUCUCAUCAGUUUGAUUUUAAAACUUCAAUAUUUUAAUGAUCUGGGUGUUGGUUUCCCCACCCUCCCCAAGUCAAUCUCUGUGCUCCUGCUUUAUUUUGGCUCACGCAAGCAGUACCGUGUGUUGCCUGUACAGAUGUGCACUGAAAUAUGACUGAGCACCAGUGCAGUACAGUCCGGUCCCAUCUCAAUCGUACUAGGGAUCUGCCUCCAGUAAGCUGUGAGAUGUAAGGGUUGCAGUGGGACAGGGGGAAAUGCAAUGACAUCCAUUUAUACAACAACAACAAAAUUACAUUUAUAGAGCGUCUUUCACGU